rnacentral:rRNA from 1 species
GGGUUGUGAGGUUAAGCGACUAAGCGUACACGGUGGAUGCCCUGGCAGUCAGAGGCGAUGAAGGACGUGCUAAUCUGCGAUAAGCGUCGGUAAGGUGAUAUGAACCGUUAUAACCGGCGAUUUCCGAAUGGGGAAACCCAGUGUGUUUCGACACACUAUCAUUAACUGAAUCCAUAGGUUAAUGAGGCGAACCGGGGGAACUGAAACAUCUAAGUACCCCGAGGAAAAGAAAUCAACCGAGAUUCCCCCAGUAGCGGCGAGCGAACGGGGAGCAGCCCAGAGCCUGAAUCAGUGUGUGUGUUAGUGGAAGCGUCUGGAAAGGCGCGCGAUACAGGGUGACAGCCCCGUACACAAAAAUGCACAUGCUGUGAGCUCGAUGAGUAGGGCGGGACACGUGGUAUCCUGUCUGAAUAUGGGGGGACCAUCCUCCAAGGCUAAAUACUCCUGACUGACCGAUAGUGAACCAGUACCGUGAGGGAAAGGCGAAAAGAACCCCGGCGAGGGGAGUGAAAAAGAACCUGAAACCGUGUACGUACAAGCAGUGGGAGCACGCUUAGGCGUGUGACUGCGUACCUUUUGUAUAAUGGGUCAGCGACUUAUAUUCUGUAGCAAGGUUAACCGAAUAGGGGAGCCGAAGGGAAACCGAGUCUUAACUGGGCGUUAAGUUGCAGGGUAUAGACCCGAAACCCGGUGAUCUAGCCAUGGGCAGGUUGAAGGUUGGGUAACACUAACUGGAGGACCGAACCGACUAAUGUUGAAAAAUUAGCGGAUGACUUGUGGCUGGGGGUGAAAGGCCAAUCAAACCGGGAGAUAGCUGGUUCUCCCCGAAAGCUAUUUAGGUAGCGCCUCGUGAAUUCAUCUCCGGGGGUAGAGCACUGUUUCGGCAAGGGGGUCAUCCCGACUUACCAACCCGAUGCAAACUGCGAAUACCGGAGAAUGUUAUCACGGGAGACACACGGCGGGUGCUAACGUCCGUCGUGAAGAGGGAAACAACCCAGACCGCCAGCUAAGGUCCCAAAGUCAUGGUUAAGUGGGAAACGAUGUGGGAAGGCCCAGACAGCCAGGAUGUUGGCUUAGAAGCAGCCAUCAUUUAAAGAAAGCGUAAUAGCUCACUGGUCGAGUCGGCCUGCGCGGAAGAUGUAACGGGGCUAAACCAUGCACCGAAGCUGCGGCAGCGACGCUGAUGCGUUGUUGGGUAGGGGAGCGUUCUGUAAGCCUGCGAAGGUGUGCUGUGAGGCAUGCUGGAGGUAUCAGAAGUGCGAAUGCUGACAUAAGUAACGAUAAAGCGGGUGAAAAGCCCGCUCGCCGGAAGACCAAGGGUUCCUGUCCAACGUUAAUCGGGGCAGGGUGAGUCGACCCCUAAGGCGAGGCCGAAAGGCGUAGUCGAUGGGAAACAGGUUAAUAUUCCUGUACUUGGUGUUACUGCGAAGGGGGGACGGAGAAGGCUAUGUUGGCCGGGCGACGGUUGUCCCGGUUUAAGCGUGUAGGCUGGUUUUCCAGGCAAAUCCGGAAAAUCAAGGCUGAGGCGUGAUGACGAGGCACUACGGUGCUGAAGCAACAAAUGCCCUGCUUCCAGGAAAAGCCUCUAAGCAUCAGGUAACAUCAAAUCGUACCCCAAACCGACACAGGUGGUCAGGUAGAGAAUACCAAGGCGCUUGAGAGAACUCGGGUGAAGGAACUAGGCAAAAUGGUGCCGUAACUUCGGGAGAAGGCACGCUGAUAUGUAGGUGAGGUCCCUCGCGGAUGGAGCUGAAAUCAGUCGAAGAUACCAGCUGGCUGCAACUGUUUAUUAAAAACACAGCACUGUGCAAACACGAAAGUGGACGUAUACGGUGUGACGCCUGCCCGGUGCCGGAAGGUUAAUUGAUGGGGUUAGCGCAAGCGAAGCUCUUGAUCGAAGCCCCGGUAAACGGCGGCCGUAACUAUAACGGUCCUAAGGUAGCGAAAUUCCUUGUCGGGUAAGUUCCGACCUGCACGAAUGGCGUAAUGAUGGCCAGGCUGUCUCCACCCGAGACUCAGUGAAAUUGAACUCGCUGUGAAGAUGCAGUGUACCCGCGGCAAGACGGAAAGACCCCGUGAACCUUUACUAUAGCUUGACACUGAACAUUGAGCCUUGAUGUGUAGGAUAGGUGGGAGGCUUGGAAGUGUGGACGCCAGUCUGCAUGGAGCCGACCUUGAAAUACCACCCUUUAAUGUUUGAUGUUCUAACGUUGACCCGUAAUCCGGGUUGCGGACAGUGUCUGGUGGGUAGUUUGACUGGGGCGGUCUCCUCCUAAAGAGUAACGGAGGAGCACGAAGGUUGGCUAAUCCUGGUCGGACAUCAGGAGGUUAGUGCAAUGGCAUAAGCCAGCUUGACUGCGAGCGUGACGGCGCGAGCAGGUGCGAAAGCAGGUCAUAGUGAUCCGGUGGUUCUGAAUGGAAGGGCCAUCGCUCAACGGAUAAAAGGUACUCCGGGGAUAACAGGCUGAUACCGCCCAAGAGUUCAUAUCGACGGCGGUGUUUGGCACCUCGAUGUCGGCUCAUCACAUCCUGGGGCUGAAGUAGGUCCCAAGGGUAUGGCUGUUCGCCAUUUAAAGUGGUACGCGAGCUGGGUUUAGAACGUCGUGAGACAGUUCGGUCCCUAUCUGCCGUGGGCGCUGGAGAACUGAGGGGGGCUGCUCCUAGUACGAGAGGACCGGAGUGGACGCAUCACUGGUGUUCGGGUUGUCAUGCCAAUGGCACUGCCCGGUAGCUAAAUGCGGAAGAGAUAAGUGCUGAAAGCAUCUAAGCACGAAACUUGCCCCGAGAUGAGUUCUCCCUGAC